CCUACGGGAGGCUGCAGUAGGGAAUUUUCGGCAAUGGGGGGAACCCUGACCGAGCAACGCCGCGUGAACGAAGAAGUUAUUCGUAAUGUAAAGUUCUUUUAACAGGGAAGAAAGAGAAAUUUGACGGUCCCUGAAGAAUAAGCUCCGGCUAACUACGUGCCAGCAGCCGCGGUAAUAAGGAGGGAGCGAGCGUUAACCGGAAUUAUUGGGCGGAAAGGGUGCGUUGAUGGCAUAGUAAGUCUUUGGUAAAAGUGCUGGGCUCAACCCAGUAGGGCAAAAGAUACUGCAAAGCUAGAGUAGGACAGAGGCAAGCGGAACGAGAAGUGUAGCGGUAAAAUGCUUAGAUAU
rnacentral:rRNA from 1 species